GGGAAUCAGGCUGGUCGCUGAGAGUGUUUGGGCGUGGGUACGCAGCAGUGGAAAAAGAUGGCUUAAUUAAAUGGAUACCUGCACAAUGUAUAAAACCUGAAAUAACCAUUUCUUCUUAAAAUGGAGUUUUCUGUUAC